rnacentral:rRNA from 1 species
AAUUGUUCUUGGUCAUCAGUUCCAAAAGGCGAGUGUCCAUCGAAGAGGAAAAAUAGUCAAUAUCCAAUUUGUAGUAGCGUUUGCAGUGGACACCGAAAUCUUUGAUCUUGUCCAUUGGAAUCGACUCGUAAUUGGUAACGUCGUCGGCCGGCUGGUAAUGUUCGGGAUAGGUGCGAAAUGCGCCAAUGUCCACUUUGCCAGAGCACAGUGUCCUGCAAGGAUCGAUCACCACGGCCACGAACGGUUCCUCGUACAUUUGGUGCAACAUCUGCGUGUCGACAUCAAUGCCGGAAAGCCAGCAUCCGUAUCCGGGAUGGCUGUGAUACCAUCCGAUCACGUUUUCCAUACGCCCGAGCAUAUUUUUUCCAUUCAAAUAGCUCACCAUGUAUUCGUAAGCUUGUUCGUGGGCGUUGACCCGGGUUUCGGUCCCUUCGACAGGCAACGCGAACGAAUCCAAAAUUACAAACGUGUUCGCCAUCGGCUUGCCAAGCAGCAAACCCAUCACCUCGAUACCAUUGCCCGACUGCGCGUGAUUGGAAAUUUUCAUCAAAGUCAGCGUCGACAUUUGCACACGCUUGAAAUAAUGGGGAUCUUUUUUCCAAGGGCUUCGACGUAACAUCUCAUUCUGGAAUUCGUUGUCAUCGGCAAACAAUUCGUCACCUUUUCUCAUUAUAACUGGCCCCUCGCUUGACGUUGACUGUCCAUGUCGACUGGUCAUUUCAAACAAAUCUUUCAGAUCUAUACUUUAAUGGUCGAUAUAGACAGCAGGACGGUGGCCAUGGAAGUUGGAAUCCGCCAAGGAGUGUGUAACAACUCACCUGCCGAAUCGACUAGCCCUGAAAAUGGAUAGCGUUUGAGCUCCAGGCCCAUACCUGACCGUCUCAAUUACGCACUUUUUUUUCGGAAAAGGUGUAAUGAACGUUGAGACGGGUAGGAAGGUCGCGACAGUGUUGCUUUGAAGAGUUUUGAGCGUGAGCUCGCUCGGAGCCGCUGUUGGUGCAGAUCUUGGUGGUAGUAGCAAAUAUUCAACAAAUAUUCAAGUGAGAACCUUGAAGGCUGAAGUGGAGCAAGGUUCCAUGUGAACAGCAGUUGGACAUGGGUCAGUCGAUCCUAAGAAAACGGCGAAAGCUUGUUCGAAUUUGCGACAUGAAUUGUAAGACUGAAUAAUUAUUUGUGUGUGUGUUGUGGUGGAGGCGAUUGUGUCGUCACCAGUUGUUGUUGUGUGCAGUUGUCGUAUGUUUUCGAAAGGGAAUCCGGUUGAUAUUCCGGAACCGAGUAACGGAGACAAAGAGUAGCGCUUUAAUCUCUCUGUGGGGUUGGCGUUCAACUCAAUCGCGCGGUAACGCAAGCGAACUCGGAAAAUGACCGUCGUGAGUUUCGAAAAGAGUUUUCUUUUCUUUUUAAGGGACGCAUUCCCUGGAACCGGGUUGUCCGGAGAUAGGGAUUCUGGUAUCCAUAAAACGCAAUUUUUCGCUUCUUUGCCGCUGAAGAUGAUCUCUGGGACGCUUGAUCAUCCAUAAAUUCCGCCAACAAACCAAACGAACUCUCAGAACAUGCUGGUGACGCCUGGUAAAUCUCGUACUUGGUCGUACUGAUAUCCGCAGCAGGUCUCCAAGGUGAAUAGCCUCUGGCCGAUAGAAUAAUGUAGGUAAGGGAAGUCGGCAAAACGGAUCCGUAACUUCGGAACAAGGAUUGGCUCUAAGGGCUGGGCCGAUCGGGCUGAGGUUUCAAGCGUGCAGUGUAUGUUGGCUUAGCUGUGUUGAGGACUUGUUCACUUGCCACCGGUUGUUCGGCUGGUCGAGUGUAUUCGAGUCUGAAGCAGAGCUGGCCGACAGACCGGCACGUGCAGAACCUGAGCUGCGCGGCUGUCCGUUUUCGUGUACAGACCGUUUCGGUCGGCAUUCAACAGCCAACUUAGAACUGGCACGGACACAAGGAAUCUGACUGUAUAAUUAAAACAAAGCAUUGCGAUGGCCGAUGAUCGGUGAUGACGCAAUGUGAUUUCUGCCCAGUGCUCUGAAUGUCAAAGUGAAGAAAUUCAAUCAAGCGCGGGUAAACGGCGGGAGUAACUAUGACUCUCUUAAGGUAGCCAAAUGCCUCGUCAUCUAAUUAGUGACGCGUAUGAAUGGAUCAACAAGAUUCCUUCUGUCCCUAUCUACUAUCUAGCGAAACCACAGCCAAGGGAACGGGCUUGGCAAAAUCAGCGGGGAAAGAAGACCCUGUUGAGCUUGACUCUAGUCUGACUCUGUGAAGAGACAUGAAAGGUGUAGCAUAGGUGGGAGAUUGUCAAUUUGCCAUCGUUCACGCGA